GCCCCCAUAGCUCAGUGGAUAGAGCACUGGCCUCCGGAGCCAGGAGCGGGCGUUCGAGUCGCCCUGGGGGUACCA
rnacentral:tRNA from 2 species